UUAAGCGACUAAGCGUACACGGUGGAUGCCUUGGCAGUCAGAGGCGAUGAAGGACGUGCUAAUCUGCGAUAAGCGUCGGUAAGGUGAUAUGAACCGUUAUAACCGGCGAUUUCCGAAUGGGGAAACCCAGUGUGAUUCGUCACACUAUCAUUAACUGAAUCCAUAGGUUAAUGAGGCGAACCGGGGGAACUGAAACAUCUAAGUACCCCGAGGAAAAGAAAUCAACCGAGAUUCCCCCAGUAGCGGCGAGCGAACGGGGAGGAGCCCAGAGCCUGAAUCAGUGUGUGUGUUAGUGGAAGCGUCUGGAAAGGCGCGCGAUACAGGGUGACAGCCCCGUACACAAAAAUGCACAUGCUGUGAGCUCGAUGAGUAGGGCGGGACACGUGGUAUCCUGUCUGAAUAUGGGGGGACCAUCCUCCAAGGCUAAAUACUCCUGACUGACCGAUAGUGAACCAGUACCGUGAGGGAAAGGCGAAAAGAACCCCGGCGAGGGGAGUGAAAAAGAACCUGAAACCGUGUACGUACAAGCAGUGGGAGCACAGAGCAAUCUGUGUGACUGCGUACCUUUUGUAUAAUGGGUCAGCGACUUAUAUUCUGUAGCAAGGUUAACCGAAUAGGGGAGCCGAAGGGAAACCGAGUCUUAACCGGGCGUUAAGUUGCAGGGUAUAGACCCGAAACCCGGUGAUCUAGCCAUGGGCAGGUUGAAGGUUGGGUAACACUAACUGGAGGACCGAACCGACUAAUGUUGAAAAAUUAGCGGAUGACUUGUGGCUGGGGGUGAAAGGCCAAUCAAACCGGGAGAUAGCUGGUUCUCCCCGAAAGCUAUUUAGGUAGCGCCUCGUGAAUUCAUCUCCGGGGGUAGAGCACUGUUUCGGCAAGGGGGUCAUCCCGACUUACCAACCCGAUGCAAACUGCGAAUACCGGAGAAUGUUAUCACGGGAGACACACGGCGGGUGCUAACGUCCGUCGUGAAGAGGGAAACAACCCAGACCGCCAGCUAAGGUCCCAAAGUCAUGGUUAAGUGGGAAACGAUGUGGGAAGGCCCAGACAGCCAGGAUGUUGGCUUAGAAGCAGCCAUCAUUUAAAGAAAGCGUAAUAGCUCACUGGUCGAGUCGGCCUGCGCGGAAGAUGUAACGGGGCUAAACCAUGCACCGAAGCUGCGGCAGCGACACUGUGUGUUGUUGGGUAGGGGAGCGUUCUGUAAGCCUGUGAAGGUGUGCUGUGAGGCAUGCUGGAGGUAUCAGAAGUGCGAAUGCUGACAUAAGUAACGAUAAAGCGGGUGAAAAGCCCGCUCGCCGGAAGACCAAGGGUUCCUGUCCAACGUUAAUCGGGGCAGGGUGAGUCGACCCCUAAGGCGAGGCCGAAAGGCGUAGUCGAUGGGAAACAGGUUAAUAUUCCUGUACUUGGUGUUACUGCGAAGGGGGACGGAGAAGGCUAUGUUGGCCGGGCGACGGUUGUCCCGGUUUAAGCGUGUAGGCUGGUUUUCCAGGCAAAUCCGGAAAAUCAAGGCUGAGGCGUGAUGACGAGGCACUACGGUGCUGAAGCAACAAAUGCCCUGCUUCCAGGAAAAGCCUCUAAGCAUCAGGUAACAUCAAAUCGUACCCCAAACCGACACAGGUGGUCAGGUAGAGAAUACCAAGGCGCUUGAGAGAACUCGGGUGAAGGAACUAGGCAAAAUGGUGCCGUAACUUCGGGAGAAGGCACGCUGAUAUGUAGGUGAAGUCCCUCGCGGAUGGAGCUGAAAUCAGUCGAAGAUACCAGCUGGCUGCAACUGUUUAUUAAAAACACAGCACUGUGCAAACACGAAAGUGGACGUAUACGGUGUGACGCCUGCCCGGUGCCGGAAGGUUAAUUGAUGGGGUCAGCGCAAGCGAAGCUCUUGAUCGAAGCCCCGGUAAACGGCGGCCGUAACUAUAACGGUCCUAAGGUAGCGAAAUUCCUUGUCGGGUAAGUUCCGACCUGCACGAAUGGCGUAAUGAUGGCCAGGCUGUCUCCACCCGAGACUCAGUGAAAUUGAACUCGCUGUGAAGAUGCAGUGUACCCGCGGCAAGACGGAAAGACCCCGUGAACCUUUACUAUAGCUUGACACUGAACAUUGAGCCUUGAUGUGUAGGAUAGGUGGGAGGCUUUGAAGUGUGGACGCCAGUCUGCAUGGAGCCGACCUUGAAAUACCACCCUUUAAUGUUUGAUGUUCUAACGUGGACCCGUGAUCCGGGUUGCGGACAGUGUCUGGUGGGUAGUUUGACUGGGGCGGUCUCCUCCUAAAGAGUAACGGAGGAGCACGAAGGUUGGCUAAUCCUGGUCGGACAUCAGGAGGUUAGUGCAAUGGCAUAAGCCAGCUUGACUGCGAGCGUGACGGCGCGAGCAGGUGCGAAAGCAGGUCAUAGUGAUCCGGUGGUUCUGAAUGGAAGGGCCAUCGCUCAACGGAUAAAAGGUACUCCGGGGAUAACAGGCUGAUACCGCCCAAGAGUUCAUAUCGACGGCGGUGUUUGGCACCUCGAUGUCGGCUCAUCACAUCCUGGGGCUGAAGUAGGUCCCAAGGGUAUGGCUGUUCGCCAUUUAAAGUGGUACGCGAGCUGGGUUUAGAACGUCGUGAGACAGUUCGGUCCCUAUCUGCCGUGGGCGCUGGAGAACUGAGGGGGGCUGCUCCUAGUACGAGAGGACCGGAGUGGACGCAUCACUGGUGUUCGGGUUGUCAUGCCAAUGGCACUGCCCGGUAGCUAAAUGCGGAAGAGAUAAGUGCUGAAAGCAUCUAAGCACGAAACUUGCCCCGAGAUGAGUUCUCCCUGACCCUUUAAGGGUCCUGAAGGAACGUUGAAGACGACGACGUUGAUAGGCCGGGUGUGUAAGCGCAGCGAUGCGUUGAGCUAACCGGUACUAAUGAACCGUGAGGCUUAACCU
rnacentral:rRNA from 1 species